AGCAGCCGCGGUAAUUCCAGCUCCAAUAGCGUAUAUUAAAGUUGUUGCAGUUAAAAAGCUCGUAGUUGAAUUUCGGGGUUAGUAGGUUGGUCAUGCCUCUGGUAUGUACUGGUCUCACUGAUUCCUCCUUCCUGACGAACCUUAAUGCCAUUAAUUUGGUGUUUCGGGAAAUUUGGACUGUUACUUUGAAAAAAUUAGAGUGUUUAAAGCAAGCUAACGCUUGAAUACAUUAGCAUGGAAUAAUGAAAUAGGACGUUCGAUCCUAUUUUGUUGGUUUCUAGGAUUGACGUAAUGAUUAAUAGGGAUAGUUGGGGGCAUUAGUAUUCAAUUGUCAGAGGUGAAAUUCUUGGAUUUAUUGAAGACUAACUACUGCGAAAGCAUUUGCCAAGGAUGUUUUCAUUAAUCAAGAACGAAAGUUAGGGGAUCGAAGACGAUCAGAUACCGUCGUAG
rnacentral:rRNA from 1 species